UACGGAGGGUGCAAGCGUUAUCCGGAUUCACUGGGUUUAAAGGGUGCGUAGGCGGCUUCUUAAGUCUGGUGUGAAAUCUCCCGGCUCAACUGGGAGGGUGCGCCGGAUACUGAGGGGCUAGAGUGUGGGAGAGGAAAGUGGAAUUCCUGGUGUAGCGGUGAAAUGCGUAGAUAUCAGGAGGAACACCGGUGGUGUAAACGGCUUUCUGGACUAUAACUGACGCUGAGGCACGAAAGCGUGGGUAGCAAACAGG
rnacentral:rRNA from 1 species